GACGAACGCUGGCGGCGUGCUUAACACAUGCAAGUCGAACGGAAAGGCCCUGCUUUUGUGGGGUGCUCGAGUGGCGAACGGGUGAGUAACACGUGAGUAACCUGCCCUUGACUUUGGGAUAACUUCAGGAAACUGGGGCUAAUACCGGAUAGGAGCUCCUGCUGCAUGGUGGGGGUUGGAAAGUUUCGGCGGUUGGGGAUGGACUCGCGGCUUAUCAGCUUGUUGGUGGGGUAGUGGCUUACCAAGGCUUUGACGGGUAGCCGGCCUGAGAGGGUGACCGGCCACAUUGGGACUGAGAUACGGCCCAGACUCCUACGGGAGGCAGCAGUGGGGAAUAUUGCAGAAUGGGCGGAAGCGUGAUGCAGCAACGCCGCGUGCGGGAUGACGGCCUUCGGGUUGUAAACCGCUUUCGCCUGUGACGAAGCGUGAGUGACGGUAAUGGGUAAAGAAGCACCGGCUAACUACGUG
rnacentral:rRNA from 1 species